rnacentral:rRNA from 1 species
GCUGGAUUCGCUAGUAAUCGCGCAUCAGCCAUGGCGCGGUGAAUACGUUCCCGGGCCUUGUACACACCGCCCGUCAAGCCAUGAAAGCCGGGGGGCGCCUGAAGUCCGUGACCGCGAGGGUCGGCCUAGGGUGAAACCGGUGAUUGGGGCUAAGUCGUAACAAGGUAAC